rnacentral:tRNA from 1 species
UCUAAUGUGACAGAUUAAUGUAAUGGAUUUAAGCUCCAUAAAUAAAGAACUUUACUUUUAUUAGAA